rfam:Gossypium raimondii chromosome 5, whole genome shotgun sequence.
AGUCCAUGGUGUGGGUAUUUCUGAAUCAACACUUUAAAGUGCUCCCAAGCUUCAUGGAAACUUUCUCCUUCUAAUUUCUUAAACGUAGCAAUCUCUCUCCUUAGCU